UACGUAGGGUGCGAGCGUUAAUCGGAUUUACUGGGCGUAAAGCGUGCGCAGGCGGCCCGUUAAGACAGGUGUGAAAUCCCUGGGCUCAACCUAGGAAUUGCGCUUGUGACUGGCGGGCUCGAGUACGGUAGAGGGGGGCGGAAUUCCUGGUGUAGCAGUGAAAUGCGUAGAGAUCAGGAGGAACACCGAUGGCGAAGGCAGCCCCCUGGGCCUGUACUGACGCUGAGGUGCGAAAGCGUGGGGAGCAAACAGG
rnacentral:rRNA from 1 species